CUGGACUUCCAGCAUCACCUGUGUUCGGUUCUACUACACUUAGAAAGACCCUGUUCGAUGGAAACAUUCACACGAACAAGGGAAACAAGCUCCAGGGUAAGAAUAUUAACUAUAUUCGGUAGUGUGUUCGCUUUUAAACUACUGAACUAGACCGACCGCUAGCCCUGAUCUUAUGGAACUGUUUUGGGCAGGAGCCUCGUGUGUGGCCGGUCAAAUUAGGACUUCCAGGAAAUUCCCGAACCCCUGAACCGAUCUGGGUGAUUUUCCUCAUUCUGCUCCAUGAGGGAGUGG